AUCGGAACGUUUUUCAGUCAUAGAAUAGAAGAGAGAAUUGGUCCCUGUAGAGUGUAGGCUGUAAUCAGUAAACAGUAAUCAGUGAAUCUUCAGUUGAAACAUAGAUACCCAGACUUGAGAAAAUCAGAAGGAACUGCUAACCACAUCCCCCCCUUCAUUCAUUAUAUCUCGUCACCACUGCAUAGUCCGCUACUUAUUUCAAGUGAAGAAUUCGAGGGCUUUUGUCAUGCAAUCUUCUUUGGAGAAUUCAGUCCUCGAUAUGUUCUUGAAAACAAUUUUAUGAUAGCUCAUAUCAUUGUCUACUAUCAACAACAGCUAUAAACCACCCAACAACGGCUGUAAACCACCAAUGGAUGUCAAUAGUGGUUAAAGUGAUGGUAUGGGUUAGGGUUAGUAUAUGACGGCAUAAUACUAGUUCAACGCAAGAACUAUAGACUCUCACAGCCUAAAACCAUGAGACCUUGUGGGACUUUGUGGGGUUGAGGUCUGGUUAUGGCUCAAUCACCCAAUCCAACCAGAGAGUGUCUGCUCUUUCUUUUUGCAUAUUUAUGUAUCAAUUCUUCUCCUUCAAUUCCACUUCCCAGUAAAAUUAUCACAGACAAUAUAGCAAGAUAAUGAUCCAAUUGACAUGUUCUUUCAGCACCAUUUUCUUCACUCAGAGCUCUCAAAGAUUUUCCAAUCCUUGUCAAGAACCAAACAACUGCAUGCUUUAAUCAUAAGGACCCACCUCUCCUGUGAUCCAUUUUAUGCAACUAGAAUAGUGAGGUUUUAUGCUAUCAAUAAUGAUAUUCAUUCUGCUCAUAACCUGUUCAACAAAACUCCCCAACAAAGUGUGUUUCUUUGGAAUUCAAUUAUUCGAGCAUAUGCACAAGCCCAAAACUUUUGUGAAGCACAAUCUCUCUUUAAGAUGAUGCUCAGAACUGAAACUAGACCUGAUUGUUUUACUUAUGCUUGUAUUAUACGUGCGUGCUCUGAGAACUUUAAUUUAGGUGCAUUAAGACUUGUUCAUGGAGGAGUAAUAGUUUCAGGGUUAGGGUUGGAUUCCAUUUGUGGUAGUGCAUUUGUGACUGCUUAUUCUAAGUUGGGCCUUGUUGAUGAAGCCAGUGUAGUGUUUCAUGGGAUACCUGAGCCGGAUUUGGUUAUGUGGAAUUCUAUGAUUUCUGGUUAUGGCUGCCAUGGAUUUUGGGAUAAAGGGCUACAGCUGUUUAGUAGAAUGAGAAAUGAGGGGACGCAGCCAGAUGGAUAUACGAUAGUUGGGUUGCUUUCAGGUUUAGCAUAUUCCAGCUUGCUGAGUAUUGGCCAAGGAAUACAUGGUUUUUGCUUGAAAAGUGGUUUUGAUUUUAAUGCUCACGUAGGUAGUGUACUUGUGAGCAUGUACUCUAGGUGUAAGUGCAUGAAUUCCGCAUAUAGAGUUUUCAGUAAUUUAUCCCAGCUAGAUUUAGUUACAUGGUCUGCUUUGAUAACUGGAUAUUCUCAAUCUGGAGAUUAUGAGAAGGCAUUGUUUUUCUUCAAGAAACACAAUAUGCAGGGCAAGAUGGCAGAUCCCAUUCUAAUUGCCAGUGUGCUAGCAGCUGUAGCUCAAUUUGCAAAUGUAGGGCCUGGUUGCGAGAUACACAGUUAUGUACUUAGACAUGGAUUUGAAUCGGAUGUAAUGGUCUCCUCUUCUCUAAUAGAUAUGUAUUUGAAGUGUGGUUUUGUGGGCUUGGGUAUUCGUGUAUUUGAGAUUAUGCCAGAGAGGAAUAUAGUUUCUUAUAAUUCUGUAAUUUCAGGCCUUGGUUUGAAUGGACUUGCCUCCCAGGCCUUUGAAAUGUUUGAAGAGAUACUAGAGAAAGGAUUAUUACCUGAUGAAUCUACUUUCUCUGCACUCCUUUGUGCUUGCUGCCAUGGCGGCCUCGUCAAAGAUGGCCAGGAAAUUUUCAGACGAAUGAAAGAUGAAUUUUGCAUUCAAGCUAGAACUGAGCAUUAUGUUUACAUGGUAAAACUCCUUGGGAUGGAUGGUGAGUUAGAAAAGGCUUACAAUCUUAUCCUAUCUUUGCCAGAACCAGUAGAUUGUGGCAUAUGGGGAGCCCUUUUAUCAUGCUGUGAUGCUUGUGGAAAUUCAGAGCUGGCAGAAAUUGUUUCUCAGCAGCUUUUUGAUGAUACUCCUGGGAAAAGUGCUUAUAGAAUCAUGCUUUCUAAAAUAUAUGCUGGCAAUGGGAGGUGGGAUGAUGUGCAGAAGGUGAGGAGUGAUAUGACAAGAGAUCUGAGGAAAAUGCCUGGUGUUAGCUGGAUUGAAGCCAGUAGCAAUCAACUGUUGGAAAGAUGUAUAAAUUCUUGAUCAAAUCUUCUAUAAAUCAUCUUGUGGAAACAUCUGUGGAUAAACACACUGUGUUGGAAAAAGCUCUUAAACACAGUGAGCCCUUCUGAGUCAAGCUAGCUCCGAGUCUUUUUCUAAGGACUUUUCUUUUUUGAGUUUUCUAAGGUGAAAAUGACUCCAAAAAAGGAAAAACACACAAAUUACCUGGUUGAAGAUAUGUUUUGCUUCUAAUACAAGCUCCAAGGGCCUGCAUCUUCACAUUAGAGAGAAAUCUCUCACUGAGAUUCUCUUCAGCCACAUACAUCACUCCAAAGAGCUUACCUAUUUCUCCUGGAAUGCCACCAUAGGCAUGUAAUCCAAAAGGAUCAGGAUGCUCUCAGUCUCCUAUUCCUGAUGGCAGCUCCGUGUUAGUGUGCUUAAUUCCCUUGGAAUCGUCUUCUGGCAAACCUCUGUUGUGAAAACAGCAUUUGUUCUACAUUGACCAUGCAUGUAACAAGUUUUUAUCUUCAAUAGCACAUUCCAAUUGGAAGAACGCUACAUUUCCAAGUUGAGUUUUCUCUUGGCCCCAGGUGUCAUGUCUAGCUGAGAGCCCAUUAGAGGAAUUGUGAAGAAUUGAGCUAUCAGGAAUUAUGUUCCACAAAUGCAGAAUCCCUUGCACUAUGAGGGAUGUGAUGCACGUUCUGAGGUAACACAUGCUAGUGACUCAGAAACUACUGGUUCAAAUUUGCCUCCCAGCUUGAUUGCACUCCUUUCUGACUGUUGCGUCUAAACUGCACAAGAGACACAUGACAGAUUCUUUUCAAGAGACAGAUGACAGAUUCUUCUUUUUACAGUGAGUAAAUUCAUUCAAUUGUCAUUUCUCUUUAAGGACUAACACUUCUGGUUGUCCUUUUUGCUUUGUUCCUUACAUGCUCAGUGGUUCAUGGCUUGUAUUUUGAGGCCUAGAUCUAGUAAUCAGCCCUGUAGGAACAAAGAUUAUGAUUCAAUACCUCAUGAACUUCUCUUUCCUAUCUACCUUUAACUUGGUACCCAUGCUUUCCAUCCUAUUUUAAGGAGUCUGUUCUUCCUA